rnacentral:rRNA from 1 species
GAUGAACGUUAGCGAUAGGCUUAACACAUGCAAGUCGAGGGGCAGCAUGGUCUUAGCUUGCUAAGACUGAUGGCGACCGGCGCACGGGUGCGUAACGCGUAUGCAACUUGCCUCACAGAGGGGGAUAACCCGUCGAAAGACGGACUAAUACCGCGUACACUUGGGAUAGGGCAUCCUGACCCAAGGAAAUGAAAUUCGCUGUGAGAUAGGCAUGCGUCCCAUUAGCUAGUUGGUGAGGUAACGGCUCACCAAGGCGACGAUGGGUAGGGGAACUGAGAGGUUGAACCCCCACACUGGUACUGAGACACGGACCAGACUCCUACGGGAGGAAGCAGUGAGGAAUAUUGGUCAAUGGGCGAGAGCCUGAACCAGCCAAGUCGCGUGAAGGAUGACUGUCUUAUGGAUUGUAAACUUCUUUUAUACGGGAAUAACAAGAGCCACGUGUGGCUCCCUGCAUGUACCGUAUGAAUAAGCAUCGGCUAACUCCGUG